UACGUAGGGGGCAAGCGUUGUCCGGAUUUACUGGGCGUAAAGAGCGUGUAGGCGGCCAUGCAGGUCCGCUGUGAAAACUCGAGGCUCAACCUCGAGACGUCGGUGGAAACCGCAUGGCUAGAGUCCGGAAGAGGAGAGUGGAAUUCCCGGUGUAGCGGUGAAAUGCGCAGAUAUCGGGAAGAACACCCGUGGCGAAGGCGGCUCUCUGGGACGGUACUGACGCUGAGACGCGAAAGCGUGGGGAGCGAACAGG
rnacentral:rRNA from 1 species